rnacentral:misc_RNA from 1 species
GAUGAAGAACGCAGCGAAAUGCGAUAAGUAGUGUGAAUUGCAGAAUUUAGUGAAUCAUCGAAUCUUUGAACGCACAUUGCGCCCUAUAGUAUUCUGUAGGGCAUGCCUGUUCGAGCGUUAUUGAGACCUCAAGCUCUGCUUGGAAAUGGGCGCUUGUCUUGCCUUGCAGACUCGCCUUAAAACCAUUGGCAGCUGAUUUACAAUGUUUGGUGCACAGUACAUGAGCCCAAGUGUUGCAAUGAGUGGCCCAAAAGUAUACAAUAGAAGCUUAACCUCGGAUCAGGUAGGGAUACCCUCUGAACUUAAGCAUAUCAAUAAGCGGAGGA